CCUGGGUGAAUUUCUUCCCCUUAUGGACUGGAAACUGAUGUCAGAGAAGCAAGCAGAAUGUCCAGAAGUGUUGGCAGAAUUGCACGUGUCCUUAACUGAGCCUAGUUUCCAUGCAUGAGAUCUAAUGGGAUUAUUUGAGUCUCAAAAUAAUGUGGAUAACCUUCCCUGCGGGGCAAGACAGCAUGCAAGAGACAGUGCAUUUCAGCACAUCGGCCCAUGCAAAGUCCUUACCUGCCCACAAACAGACAGUGCAAUUGCAAAGCACAGGAAUUGACUGCACUCCUCUUGUUUUGGACAGUCUGUGCUGAAGUUGUUGGUUACUCAAGAGACCCACCAGCUCAAAGUUAGGGAGCUUUUUUCUUAAUGUUUUAUAGUGAUGACAUCAGAGCAACAAAUGGAGGAUGU
rnacentral:lncRNA from 1 species